UACGUAGGUGACCAGCGUUGUCCGGAUUUACUGGGCGUAAAGAGCGCGCAGGCGGUCGUUCAAGUCGAGUGUGAAAGCCCCCGGCUCAACUGGGGAGGGUCAUUCGAUACUGAUCGACUUGAAGGCAGGAGAGGGAAGCGGAAUUCCCGGUGUAGUGGUGAAAUGCGUAGAUAUCGGGAGGAACACCGGUGGCGAAGGCGGCAUCCUGGACCGACACUGACACUGAGGAGCGAAAGCCAGGGGAGCAAACGGG
rnacentral:rRNA from 1 species